UGGGGAAUUUUGGACAAUGGGCGAAAGCCUGAUCCAGCAAUGCCGCGUGUGUGAAGAAGGCCUUCGGGUUGUAAAGCACUUUUGUCCGGAAAGAAAUCCUUGGCUCUAAUACAGUCGGGGGAUGACGGUACCGGAAGAAUAAGCACCGGCUAACUACGUGCCAGCAGCCGCGGUAAUACGUAGGGUGCAAGCGUUAAUCGGAAUUACUGGGCGUAAAGCGUGCGCAGGCGGUUUGCUAAGACCGAUGUGAAAUCCCCGGGCUCAACCUGGGAACUGCAUUGGUGACUGGCAGGCUAGAGUAUGGCAGAGGGGGGCAGAAUUCCACGUNUAGCAGUGAAAUGCGUAGAGAUGUGGAGGAAUACCGAUGGCGAAGGCAGCCCCCUGGGCAAUACUGACGCUCAUGCACGAAAGCGUGGGGAGCAAACAGGAUUAGAUACCCUGGUAGUCCACGCCCUAAACGAUGUCAACUAGUUGUUGGGGAUUCAUUUCCUUAGUAACGUAGCUAACGCGUGAAGUUGACCGCCUGGGGAGUACGGUCGCAAGAUUAAAACUCAAAUGAAUUGACGGGGUCAUAGCUG
rnacentral:rRNA from 1 species